GGCUUUUGGGUUAUGUUCCUAUUAAUAUAAAUCAUCGUCUCCAUUUCAGAAGAAGAACCAAAACACAUCUGAUCUGCUCUUAAAGGAAACUCAAUUGUGACAAGCAGAGGAAACUAAAGAGGCUGGCAUGCAGUGGCAUGAUCUCGGCUCACCGCAACCUCUGCCUCCCAGGUGCAACUGAUUAUCCUGCCUCAGCCUCCUGAGUAGCUGGAUUACAGGGCCUGGCCCAUGGCAGGAGCUCAGGAAAUGUCAGAUAAAUGAUUGAAUUUACAAGAACAAGCCCAACAGUUAAGAAAACUUCAGCUCCUGCCUCCUGCCCAUGCAGCCCAGAAGGGCCAGUUUCAUGCCAUGUUUGAUUGCCGCUCCGGUCCCAGGAGGGAUGGAAUCUGCUGUCUCACCAAGACUUGGGCAUGAGGCUGGCCUUCUCCAGAAGCUCCAGGCCCAGAGAAACAAUACAUCUAACCAAAGUCCCCCAGGGAGUCUUGGCACACAGUUGGUGCUCAGUGGACAUUGGAAUGUUUCAACAGCCAUGUCUCCUUGUUGCUGAACUGAGCAACAUCCAUGGACAUCCAUGGGACAGAUGGUUCUCUCUCCAGCAUGGAAUCAGAAGGCCUGGUUUCAAGUUCCAGGACUGUGCCUCAUUCAUUGUGUGUUGCUGGCUGAGUCACUUAACCUGCCUGAGCAAAGAACAGAGAAGCAGUCAGAUUUGGAAUCCACUGGGGAGGCAGGGUUUGUAAAACUUGUUGAUUAAAUGAACAAGAGUAUGUGGGAAUGAGAAGAAUCAAAAUCUAAGCCAAGCAUCUGGCCUGAACAGCUGGGUGGUCAGUGAACCCAU
ensembl:lncRNA novel transcript